UAACAAUGACGUCAGCUAGACACGGCGCUUGAAGGCGGGGAUGGGGUCGUGCGUGGUGUCAGAUGAAAUGUUUCAGUUGGUGUUGCCCUGGAGACCAGGAAGCAGAGCAGUUCAACCUGUUCAGACUGGGACAAUGACAACAUCCUGACUAACAGCUAAAACCUAACCAGAUCUCUAGAAGCAAAUGUAUUUAGUGUGGAGCUCCCUCCCGGGGCCCCACAGUGUCUCAGAUGAUGGAGAGAGCUGGAAUGCAGGAAUGUGGAGAGAUAAUCCUGCAACCUCAGUGGAUACUGCUCAACGCCUGCCAGUGCUUUGAUCUUCACACCGCUGCCAAGGGGGACAAGCAAUUUCCUGAGCUCUUCUCAGAGGAAGGUUCCUGUAAAUGCAUGUUCCAUGUCAGCACGCAGGUAUCCAAGGAGCCUACCCACAUGAACACAAAUAUAUAUAAUAUGGUUAAUGCUGCUGAUAAACAGAUUCUGCUCAUAAAACUCCUCCAUCACCCAAGAGGAAAGGAUGCAUGUCAAAGAAACCCUAUACAUUUGCAGUUUCACCUCUGUAGCCACACCCUUGAGAGAGUCACAGGACAACUUCCCUCAGAAUUUCCACUAGUUGUUGCCUAAGAAUGUAAGCUACUGUAUGUGAGUCAGCCAUGUCAGGUUUCUGAGCAGUAAUGUUGAUAAGAUAUAUAAUGCUCCCACCCCUGACUCCCUGUCCUUCUGGCGACUGCCCUGGAAAAACAUUCUCAUUUAUCAGGAAUGUAAUUCACUCUAUAGUGACUGAAAAUACUACUAAGAUAAGGUUUUCUCUGUGAAAUUUUAAAUUAACUGGUAUCCUGAAAUGCAAUAUUCUAAAACAAAGUGAUGUAUUUGUCUGACGUCUCUAAUUUGGGGAAACUACAGUAAACUACUGGGCAAAUAUUAGAGCGUUUCGAGUAGCAUAUGUCUAUUGGAAGCACAAGCACGGAAGUCUAAAGCCCUGUGAUAGCUGAUAGAUAGACAGGUACAGGUGACGACGUUCAAGUGAUGUUUCCUCUUUGAGAUGCCUCUAUUCAUAUCCUGCUACCAAAUAGACAAUGGGGGGUGGUUUUCAGUCUCAUGUUUGUUAUUCCUGUUGCAGUAUUCAAUAGCUGCCACUCGCCCACUGUUGUGUCUAUUGUAAAGUGGCUGUUCCACUGGAUGUCAUAAGGUGAAUGCACCAAUUUGUAAGUCGCUCUGGAUAAGAGCGUCUGCUAAAUGACUUAAAUGUAAAUGUAAAUGUUGUGGUACUUACUACCUUUCCACGACCACCUCUUUGGUUAUUCACCUUUUCACGUCCUCUUCGAAGAUAACAUUUAUAAAUUAGAUGAAGUUACUUAAUUACCAACAGGUCUCCUCCACACCUUUUCUCAGAUAAGAUUUUAUAGGGGGAAAAAAUAUGCUGUACCCUUACUGUAACUUAUCUGAGCAUACUAUCACCACCACCACUACCUGAGCAAUAAUACAUAUUCAAACUUGUACCAAUAGUACUGAAGACUUGCCUGGGUUAAAGAAUUUAAGAGAGACACCAAUGAUAGUGCAGCAGAUGUUUAAAUGAUUCAUGAGAUAGAACUGGCAGCCUUUUUUUCAUUGAAUGAAAGAGUAUUUUUAGUACUGUAAAUAUACAUAGGCAAGCCAUCCCCCAGUAAACACAACACAGUGUACCCAAGGUGGAGGAUGCAGGUGGAACCUGCAGUGCUCUAAAUCCUGAAGAAAGUCAUGUGGAAUGCUGUAGAAGAUUCCUGGGGUGGUUGAGUAAUGUUGUCAGACCAGCCUGUCUGCUCUGGGCCAUGCAUACCCUCAGUUCUAUGACUCCCACACCUCAGCAGGUUACCAGGCACGACCCACUGGCUCAGAGCUGCCUGGCUACUUACCCAGCAUUCCUCUGGCUUUAGUCAAAGGAUUCCGGCAUGGUGCAGGGCAAGUUGCUGUAGAUGUCCCACACGUCUUACUGGAGGAUUCAAACAUUUCUGAGUCAAGCAUCAAAACAAAAAGAGACUUAACUCUGUGAGGAAUGUUUCACUGUGAUGGGGGACUCUAAUAUACUUUGAAGGAGACACUUGUGCAGAGACAGUAGUGAGAGAACCACUCAAUGUUGGCCUACAAUCAGCCAUGUGCAUUCAUAGCCCUAAGGAGAAAUACAAGCUUGUUUGUACACAUUCUUUCUUGUAAUGUGUUUUUGUCUGGUUGAAAUGCCAAGCAUGACGCAUCAUAUAUAAGCUUGUUUAGCUGUUUGUGUCCCUUGAAGAUAAAAAGUACUUAGCUUAUUUGAAUCUUUUGUUUUAUCUAUUUACUCAUCCAUAAAUCCAUAACUUUUCAGUGUGAUUAAUCAUGACUGUGAGGAUUCAAGAUUGAUUGACAUAACUUAAAUAUAUUGGACUCUGGUGAAAACAAGUAUUAUUCUUGAGAUUUGAGUACUGUAACUGGAAUGUGAAAGAUCACCAUGUUCACCUGACUGAAACGCAUGCUCUUUAUUCUCCAGUUGAGAGGAGAUACUGUUUGUGUGUGUUCGCGCAUGCAUAGUGUAUUUGUUUUUACAAUGGCCUUGUGUUUCAAUGAAGUCGUGAAAGUUCCUUAUCUGAUAUCAGCACAUACCAUACCUUUCAGAGAGACAGAGAGAUUGUGAAAGGAAAAAGCAUCCAUUUAUGUCUUGUAGAUAUCAUUUAUCUGUCUUCUCACCAAUUCUAUUCAUCAGUUGUCAUGCUUCCCAUAGUUCUGCUAUUUUUAAUGUCCCAAAGCCACUGGUCAAAAUAAAUGCAAUUCCAGAUCCAUUUA